rnacentral:rRNA from 1 species
CGGGGGAUAACUAUUGGAAACGAUAGCUAAUACCGCAUAACAAUGGGUGACACAUGUCAUUUAUUUGAAAGGGGCAAUUGCUCCACUACAAGAUGGACCUGCGUUGUAUUAGCUAGUAGGUGAGGUAACGGCUCACCUAGGCGACGAUACAUAGCCGACCUGAGAGGGUGAUCGGCCACACUGGGACUGAGACACGGCCCAGACUCCUACGGGAGGCAGCAGUAGGGAAUCUUCGGCAAUGGGGGCAACCCUGACCGAGCAACGCCGCGUGAGUGAAGAAGGUUUUCGGAUCGUAAAGCUCUGUUGUAAGUCAAGAACGAGUGUGAGAGUGGAAAGUUCACACUGUGACGGUAGCUUACCAGAAAGGGACGGCUAACUACGUGCCAGCAGCCGCGGUAAUACGUAGGUCCCGAGCGUUGUCCGGAUUUAUUGGGCGUAAAGCGAGCGCAGGCGGUUUGAUAAGUCUGAAGUUAAAGGCUGUGGCUCAACCAUAGUUCGCUUUGGAAACUGUCAAACUUGAGUGCAGAAGGGGAGAGUGGAAUUCCAUGUGUAGCGGUGAAAUGCGUAGAUAUAUGGAGGAACACCGGUGGCGAAAGCGGCUCUCUGGUCUGUA